AGCGAACGCUGGCGGCAGGCUUAACACAUGCAAGUCGAGCGGGCAUCCUUGUGGUGUCAGCGGCAGACGGGUGAGUAACGCGUGGGAACGUGUCCUUCGGUUCGGAAUAACUCAGGGAAACUUGAGCUAAUACCGGAUACGUGCGAGAGCAGAAAGGUUUAUCUGCCGAAGGAUCGGCCCGCGUCUGAUUAGCUAGUUGGUGAGGUUAUGGCUCACCAAGGCGACGAUCAGUAGCUGGUCUGAGAGGAUGAUCAGCCACACUGGGACUGAGACACGGCCCAGACUCCUACGGGAGGCAGCAGUGGGGAAUAUUGGACAAUGGGGGCAACCCUGAUCCAGCCAUGCCGCGUGAGUGAUGACGGCCUUAGGGUUGUAAAGCUCUUUUCUCCGGGACGAUAAUGACGGUACCGGAGGAAUAAGCCCCGGCUAACUUCGUG
rnacentral:rRNA from 1 species